CCCGAGCCCGGCUGUGUCUCCAGCAGGAGCACCGGUUCGAGAAGGCGCUGCGGGAGAAGAAAGGCUUCAUCAUCAAGCGCAUGAAGGAGGACGGGGCCUGCCUGUUCCGGGCCGUGGCGGAUCAGGUGUACGGAGACCAGGAUAUGCACGAGGUGGUGAGGAAGCACUGCAUGGACUACCUG